rnacentral:rRNA from 1 species
AACGAACGUUGGCGGCAGGCUUAACACAUGCAAGUCGAACGCCCCGCAAGGGGAGUGGCAGACGGGUGAGUAACACGUGGGAACGUGCCCUUCGCUACGGAAUAUUCCCGGGAAACUGGGAGCAAUGCCGUAUACGCCGUAUUGGGAAAGAUUUAUCGGCGAAGGAUCGGCCCGCGUUGGAUUAGGUAGUUGGCGGUGUAAUGGACCACCAAGCCUACGAUCCAUAGCUGGUCUGAGAGGACGACCAGCCACACUGGGACUGAGACACGGCCCAGACUCCUACGGGAGGCAGCAGUGGGGAAUUUUGGACAAUGGGCGCAAGCCUGAUCCAGCCAUGCCGCGUGAGUGAAGAAGGCCUUAGGGUUGUAAAACUCUUUCGCCGGAGAAGAUAAUGACGGUAUCCGGAGAAGAAGCCCCGGCUAACUUCGUGCCAGCAGCCGCCGUAAUAC